rnacentral:rRNA from 1 species
GUAGGUGGCAAGCGUUGUCCGGAAUUAUUGGGCGUAAAGCGCGCGCAGGCGGUUCUUUAAGUCUGAUGUGAAAGCCCACGGCUCAACCGUGGAGGGUCAUUGGAAACUGGAGAACUUGAGUACAGAAGAGGAAAGCGGAAUUCCACGUGUAGCGGUGAAAUGCGUAGAGAUGUGGAGGAACACCAGUGGCGAAGGCGGCUUUCUGGUCUGUAACUGACGCUGAGGCGCGAAAGCGUGGGGAGCAAACAGGGAUUAGAUACCCUGGUAGUCCACGCCGUAAACGAUGAGUGCUAAGUGUUAGGGGGUUUCCGCCCCUUAGUGCUGCAGCUAACGCAUUAAGCACUCCGCCUGGGGAUACGGCCGCAAGGCUG